GGGUGGCCCAGUAUUGCUGUGGAGAGCGCUUCGUUCACACCGAAGAGGUCGCUGGUUCGAUACCAGCAUCGCCCA
rnacentral:tRNA from 1 species